rnacentral:misc_RNA from 1 species
CUGUAAACGAGGCGGCUCUUCCCAAAAGGAAGAUGCCUAACCCUCACCACACUUUGUGAACUGUUCAUUGUCUCUGGCGGGCGGUCUUCAUAAAGCCAACGCCGGAGGGGAUCUUUUGAUCCUUUCCGUGCCAAGGUGAAGGCCCAACCCGCCGCUGGGUUUUCGGAUCCAGCUUUGUUUAAACUCUUGAUCUAAACCAAACUGUCUGAAACACGUUAUACACUCAAUGUGAUAA